GUUCUAUAACAAUAUUUGAUUUCUCUAAUCAAUCUCCUUUGUUCUUCAACUUUUAAUUACAAAAACAAUAAAUAACCAUUUAAUUCCUUCCAUUAUUUUUCGCAAACUGUUAUUUGCAAUUUCGUUCUGUGAAUUCAUAGUUGUGAAAGAAAUUUCAGCAUACGAUCAAAGAUUAGAUGUGAAGCACUAACUUGAGAUGUAUAGACGGAAAGAGGUGUCUUCUUCAGUUGGGCGUGGUGGUUGCUUCACUGUGGUCGAAGAUCGAAGCAAGGUUCGAACUUCUUCAAUGUCGACAAAUCUUCGACUUCACGGUUCACACUUUUUCUUCUUCAUUGACUUUGUUGUUGGUCGGAGACGAAGCUAAUUUCGACGGCGUUUUCCUACUAUCAUUAGUGAGGGAAGGUGGAGAUGGGGAUGAAGAGGUUGGGAAGGGUUUUGUUUGAAUUAGGGAGAAAUUAAAAGAGAAGAAUCAAAGCUGCCUCGUUAUCUGACCUUCAUUUUUUUCAUUCUUGCCAUGUCAUUAUGUGAGACCUCUGUGAAGGUUUGUUCUAUACGCCAAGCGGAAUUGUUCUCUCUCAUAAACCCACAAACAAAAAUUCAGGAAGGGUGCGGAUCUAGGAGAUAAACUAGGAAAGGGGUUGAAUAAUCUUCCUGAAUAGGAGCCCGUUCUCGUUAAUAACAACAAUGACAACACUGAUGCUAAUGAUAAUGAUAGUGAGUCAUUGAAGACAGAGUCUGCAAAUUUUUUUUUAUCGAUCGAGGAUGCUGUGCGGCAUCCAAGAAACGAGAAUC
rnacentral:lncRNA from 1 species